UACGUAGGGGGCGAGCGUUGUCCGGAUUUAUUGGGCGUAAAGAGCGUGUAGGCGGUUCGGUAAGUCUGUCGUGAAAUCCUGAGGCUCAACCUCGGGCGUGCGAUGGAUACUGCCGGGCUAGAGGAUGGUAGAGGCGAGUGGAAUUCCCGGUGUAGCGGUGAAAUGCGCAGAUAUCGGGAGGAACACCGGUGGCGAAGGCGGCUUCCUGGACCGACACUGACGCUGAGGCGCGAAAGCUAGGGGAGCAAACGGG
rnacentral:rRNA from 1 species